rnacentral:rRNA from 1 species
AUGGCUGGGCACACCCACGCUCGCUUCCUCCUGGCAUGCCUCGCCGCCUCGAUCCUGUUGACGUCGCAGGCGCAGCCGGCCACGCCGACGGAGGUCAAGGUGGGGUUCAUCGUCGACGCCGGCUCGCCAGUCGGCAAGAUCGCCACGACCACAAUCCCCAUGGCCCUGGAAGACUUCUACGCCGCCUACCCCAACUCCCCCGUUCGGGUUCGGAUCCUGCCGCACGACUCCGGCGGAGACGUCGUCGCCGCCGCGUCCGCCGCGUUGCAGCUGAUGACGGUCCAGGGAGCGCGCGCCAUCCUCGGCCCGCAGUCGUCCGUCGAGUCGGCCUUCGUCGCCGACCUCGCCACGCAGGCGCAGCUCCCCGUCGUGUCCUUCUCGGCCACGAGCCCGUCGGUGUCGCCUGCCACGGCGGCGUUCUUCGCCCGCGCCGCGCUGAGCGACGCGUCGCAGGCCGACGCCAUCGCCGCGCUCGCCACGCACUUCGGGUGGCGCCGCGUCGUGCCCAUCUACCAGGACGACGACUACGGCGCCGCCUUCGUGCCCUUCCUCGUCGACGCCCUCACCGCCGAGCGCACCGAGGUCCCCUACCGCUGCGCGCUCCCGGCCGCGGCGUUGCACGACGCCAUCGCCGCGGCGCUGCUACGCAUGGAGUCCGAGCAGACGCGGGUCUUCGUGCUGCACACGCGCCCCGAGCUCGCAAAGAAAGUGUUCGCCGCCGCCGUGGACACCGGCAUGAUGGCCGAAGGCUACGUGUGGAUCAUCACCGACGGGCUCACGGGCCUCCUCGGCUCUGUCGACCCGCCGCAGGGGGUCAUCGGGCUGACGCCGUACGUACCAGACACGACGCGGCUGCGCGGCGUCAAGAAACGAUGGGCGCACCGGUACAUGCGCGACCACCGGGACGCCGAGCCGGCGCAAGCCGUGAUGGGCUGCUACGCUCUGUGGGCGUACGACGCCGCAUGGGCCGUCGCGUUCGCAGCAGAGCGACUCAGCUCCGGCGACUUAUCGUCGCCACCUGGGCUCGUAGGCGGCAAGGGCGGCCCGACCGACAUCGCCGGGCUCGGCAAGUCAACAUCAGGCCUCAACUUCCUCCGAGCUAUCAACAGCACGAAAUUCGAUGGCCUGGGCGGCAAGUUCGAGCUCGUGAACGGCGAGCUCGCCGUGCCGGCGUUCCAGGUGGUGAACAUCAUGGACAACGGAAGAGAGAGGGGCAUCGGGUUCUGGACGCUCCUGCACGGGCUGAGCCGGCACGGUUCGAACGAGUCGAGAGGCGAGCUCGGGCCGGUGAUCUGGCCGGGAGAUUCGACGGUCCGGCCAACGGGGUGGGUGCAGCCGACGAGCGCGCGGAAGCUGCGGGUGGCGGUGCCGGGGAACGUGUCGGACAGCUACAAGCCGAUCGUGCAGCUGGAGGUGGAUCCGGCGACGAACCAGACGACGGCCAGCGGGUUCGUGAUCGAGGUGUUCGAGGCGGCGGUGCGGCUGCUGCCCUACGCCCUGCCGUUCGAGUACGUGAAGGCGGCGUCCAUGCCCUACGACGACCUUGUCCAAGCGGUUGGCAAUGGGACGUUCGACGCGGCGGUGGCGGACAUCACCAUGACGGCGAGCCGGUCGAACCACGUGGACUUCACGCUGCCUUACGCAGGGACGGCCAUCGCCAUGUUGGUGCGGGUGCGCGACCAACGGAGCAACAAGCGAACAUGGGUCUUCCUCAAGCCGCUCCGCUACGACCUCUGGCUCGUCAGCGCCGCCUUUUUCCUCUUCACCGGCUUCGUGGUCUGGGCCAUCGAGCACCGCGGCAACCGCGAGUUCCGCGGGCCGGCCUCCUACCAGGUCGGCACGCUCCUCUACUUCGGCUUCUCCACCCUCGUCUUCGCCCACAGGGAGACGCUCAAGAGCAACCUCUCCAGGUUCGUGGUGCUCGUCUGGGUCUUCGUGGUGCUCAUCCUGCAGUCCAGCUACACGGCGAGCCUCACGUCCAUGCUCACGGUGCCGCAGCUGGAGCCGGCCGUGGCCGACUACGGCGAGCUGCAGCGGGGCACGGAGAUGGUCGGGGUCAUGAACAACUCCUUCGUGCUCAGGGCCAUGACGGCGUCCGGGUUCCCGCAGGGAAGGCUCGUGCGGUACCCGAACUCGCAGACCAUCCAUGAGUGCCUGCUCAACGGCAGCAUUGGCGCCGUCGUAAACGAGACGCCCUACCUCAGGAUCUUCCUCAAGACCUACCGCGACAACUUCACCAUGACGGGACCGCUCAACAAGACCGGCGGGUUCGGGUUCGCGUUCCCCAAGGGGUCGCCGUACGUGACGGACCUGUCGCAGGCCAUCCUAAAGCUCACCGAAAGCGAUGAGAUGAACAUGAUCGAGCGCAAGUGGUUCGGCGACCCCAACGACGAUGGUGCCACGCAGGACGGCGGGCCGUUCACGUCCAACAGCCUCAGCUUCAGCAGCUUCUGGGGCCUGUUCCUUAUCACCGGCGCCACCUCACUCCUCUGCUGCGUCGUCCACCUCGCCACCUUUGUCGCGGCCAACCGACGGGAGCUCCCGCCGCACUUGUCCUGGAAGGACUGGCUCUCGAGUUUGUUCAAGCUCUUCGACGACAAGGACCCCUCGUCGCACACAUUCAGGGUCAAGGACGACGGCGGCGCCGUGUCUGUCCGGAACGACGCGGUUGCCUCCCCUCCUAUUGCGCACAGCGAGCUUGGCAGCCCGCUCAGCGCGCCCUACACGAGCGAGUGGUCGGGGACGGCAAGCCCGGCGACCGGUGAGAUCGAGCUGGCCGCCGGUGGACAGGAGAGGCAUGAGGUGGCUCCCAACCCUGACGGCUGUGGAGAGAAUGGCAGAGGCCAGUAG